rnacentral:rRNA from 1 species
CCUACGGGCGGCAGCAGUGAGGAAUAUUGGUCAAUGGACGCAAGUCUGAACCAGCCAUGCCGCGUGCAGGAAGACGGCUCUAUGAGUUGUAAACUUCUUUUGUACGAGGGUAUACUCAGAUACGCGUAUCUUUCUGCAAGUAUCGUACGAAUAAGGAUCGGCUAACUCCGUGCCAGCAGCCGCGGUAAUACGGAGGAUUCAAGCGUUAUCCGGAUUUAUUGGGUUUAACGGGUGCGUAGGCGGUCGGAUAAGUUAGAGGUGAAAUCCCGAGGCUCAACGUCGGAAUUGCCUCUGAUACUGUUCGGCUAGAGAGUAGUUGCGGUAGGCGGAAUGUAUGGUGUAGCGGUGAAAUGCUUAGAGAUCAUACAGAACACCGAUUGCGAAGGCAGCUUACCAAGCUACGUCUGACGUUGAGGCACGAAAGCGUGGGGAGCAAACAGGAUUAGAUACCCGGGUAGUC